AACUAGUUGUACGCUAAUGGCGUAAUGUAUAAUUGGAAUUGAAUUAUUUCUGGAUUUACAAAGAAAAACAGCAAGACUUGCCGCAGCCAAAAGUAUAUCAACCGCUUUUAUAGCUUCGCAAAAGAAAGAAUCAUCAUCCUGGACAAUCAAGAACCAAUGGAUCAGAUUUUCUUUCACCAAAACAUUUUUGUAUGCAUUGAAAAAGAAGUAAAAGUUACUUCUAUGAAAGAAUUACGAAACUUCUUAAUUUCUGUUAUCGUAUUUUGUUGGAGAUAGUUCUUGAUCGAUAAAAAAAGAGGCUAUACGCGAAGCGUGUGACGUACAGUAUGAAGAAAAGAAUUGUGAAGCUGUGACAGAUGAAUGUCCAAAAAAUAAUCUUUUAUAGGACCAAAUCUUUCUGUAAUAAUUGGAGCAUUUAAACCCGCAAAAAUUGUCAGUAUGUUUCCAUCGUAUAUAUUUCCAUUUUAAACUAUGCAUUAACUUUCAAAAACCAGAAAUAGCUACGUUACUUAUUAGGUAUUCCCAGAGGUUUGAAAAAACUUGUUUCCUCAAAAAUGAAGAGUCUACGGUACACAGAACUUAUAUAUUAUAUUAUAUAGAAAUCCUUGGAAUGCGCCACUUCUUAGUCUAUUAAAAGUCUUUACAAUCAAUUACUUACCAUACAUGGCAGUAGUGUAAUAUAAAUUUGAAUGGAAUUAUUUCAGGACUUAGAAAGGUAUCAUAAUCGGAUAUAUGUGUAAUCGUCUUUAAUAUGAAUGGGUUUUUGACAUAAUUGUACUUUGGACGGCUCAUGCUUCCUUAUCGAGUGCCUCUUUGUCAAGAGCUAACAAAGUUUCAUUCCAAUUUAAUCUCGAUAUCGUUCUUUGUUUUAUUUCAAUAAUCGAUUCGUUUACCCUUUCUCUUUCUCUCUCUCUCUCUCUAUAUAUAUAUAGUAUAUAAUACAUAACAGAAAUGAGUAACUAAGGGUUUACAAAAAAAGAUUAUCAUAUACGUAUUCAUAUACGCCUCAAUGCAAUUACGACUUACAUCUUGCAUCGAAAAAUGACAAUAGUCGACUAUAAUUAGUGAAUUUCUUAAUCAGUGGUAUUACAUCUUACGUUGAUACAUUUGUGAAGAGUUUUGUUAUCUACGGCCAGUUGAAAGGCAUUUUAACUAUUAACCGAAGUAUUGAAAUCUUUUAUCAAAAGUCUUAACGUUAACGACAAACGAAUAAAAGAUUGUAUUAGAGUUUAAUUCGAUAUCUUCCAUUGUAUCUUCCAAUAUAAUAAUGUAAAGUUUAUUAACGAGAAGUAGAAUCAUAUAUCUAAUUAAAAAUAAACAACUAAUAGAUUUCGUUCCAUUACAAAGAUAUAUAUACAUACAUUUAUGCGUACACAUUAAAAGUAUUGCUAAUAAAAAAUCAAUAGGAUUAUAGAAAACAUUUCAUUGUAAAUUGAUGCCGAAAAUAACAAAUACCCUUCAAUAAUGUGUAAUUUUUUCUUUUUCUAUCAAGUAUUAAUUUCUUUUUAAUCAAUUUAAACAUUUUUAGUUCAUAAUGUAUCAAUAACAAUAUCAGAUAUUUAAUUUUGGCUCAUUGCAGAACAAAGGUUGCUCGUUACUGUCCAUACAAUAUAAGAAAAUCUCAAGCAAUACCCAAGAGAAAGACUACUGUAUACUUUGUGUAUGUGUGCGUGGGUGUGUAUAUUAUGUAUCUAGUUAUGUACAUAUGUAUCUAUUUACAAACGUAUGUUUAUAUGGGAUCUUCCAACAUUCCACCUUGGUGGUUGCCGAAAGACUGAUCUCAUACGAUAUUCGACAGAAAGUAAAUAACAUAAGGUGGAUUUAGAUAUUUCAGCUUAUAGAGAAACAUAUAAACAUUGUAAUAAGAUUUGCUUUGUAUACGUCAGCUAGUAAAUGGUAUAAACAUUCUCUUUUUCUUUCAGUGUAAUAAUAUUAUAUAUAUAUAUAUCAAAAUUUUUAUAAUUUAAUUAGUUAAUUAAUCAAAAUCAAAAAAUAAAAGAAAGCAACAGGAAUACAAAAAUACGAGACCUCAUCGAAAACUCCGUUUGUUAGGACAGACGUCCUUCCUCGUAAACAAUGAA